rnacentral:rRNA from 1 species
AGAGUUUGAUCAUGGCUCAGAUUGAACGCUGGCGGCAUGCCUUACACAUGCAAGUCGGACGGCAGCGCGGGUUUCGGCCUGGCGGCGAGUGGCGAACGGGUGAGUAAGACAUCGGAACGUGUCCUGGAGUGGGGGAUAGCCCGGCGAAAGCCGGAUUAAUACCGCAUACGCUCUGAGGAGGAAAGCGGGGGACCUUAGGGCCUCGCGCUCAAGGGGCGGCCGAUGGCAGAUUAGCUAGUUGGUAGGGUAAAGGCCUACCAAGGCGACGAUCUGUAGCUGGUCUGAGAGGACGACCAGCCACACUGGGACUGAGACACGGCCCAGACUCCUACGGGAGGCAGCAGUGGGGAAUUUUGGACAAUGGGGGCAACCCUGAUCCAGCAAUGCCGCGUGUGUGAAGAAGGCCUUCGGGUUGUAAAGCACUUUUGUCCGGAAAGAAAACGGCCUGGUUAAUACCUGGGCUGGAUGACGGUACCGGAAGAAUAAGCACCGGCUAACUACGUGCCAGCAGCCGCGGUAAUACGUAGGGUGCGAGCGUUAAUCGGAAUUACUGGGCGUAAAGCGUGCGCAGGCGGUUUGCUAAGACCGAUGUGAAAUCCCCGGGCUUAACCUGGGAACUGCAUUGGUGACUGGCAGGCUAGAGUAUGGCAGAGGGAGGUAGAAUUCCACGUGUAGCAGUGAAAUGCGUAGAGAUGUGGAGGAAUACCGAUGGCGAAGGCAGCCUCCUGGGCCAAUACUGACGCUCAUGCACGAAAGCGUGGGGAGCAAACAGGAUUAGAUACCCUGGUAGUCCACGCCCUAAACGAUGUCAACUAGUUGUUGGGGAUUCAUUUCCUUAGUAACGUAGCUAACGCGUGAAGUUGACCGCCUGGGGAGUACGGUCGCAAGAUUAAAACUCAAAGGAAUUGACGGGGACCCGCMCAAGCGGUGGAUGAUGUGGAUUAAUUCGAUGCAACGCGAAAAACCUUACCUACCCUUGACAUGGUCGGAACCCUGCUGAGAGGUGGGGUGCUCGAAARGAAACCGGNCMMNGGUGCUGCAUGGCUGUCCUCAGCUCGGUCCUGRRAUGUUGGGUUAAGUCCCGCAACGAGSSCACCCUUGUCCUU